rnacentral:rRNA from 1 species
CUCAGGAUGAACGCUAGCUACAGGCUUAACACAUGCAAGUCGAGGGGCAUCGAGAGGAAAGCUUGCUUUCCUUGUCGGCGACCGGCGCACGGGUGAGUAACGCGUAUCCAACCUUCCCCUUAGUAGGGCAUAGCCCGGCGAAAGUCGGAUUAAUACCCUAUGUUUUCCGAUGAGGACAUCUGAGCUGGAAUAAAGAUUUAUCGCUAAGGGAUGGGGAUGCGUCUGAUUAGGUAGUCGGCGGGGUAACGGCCCACCGAGCCAACGAUCAGUAGGGGUUCUGAGAGGAAGGUCCCCCACAUUGGUACUGAGACACGGACCAAACUCCUACGGGAGGCAGCAGUGAGGAAUAUUGGUCAAUGGGCGAGAGCCUGAACCAGCCCAAGUAGCGUGCAGGAUGACGGCCCUAUGGGUUGUAAACUGCUUUUAUCGGGGGAUAAAGUGAGGGACGCGUCCCUUUUUGUAGGUACCCGAUGAAUAAGGACCGGCUAAUUCCGUGCCAGCCGCGGC